rnacentral:tRNA from 9 species
UGGGGUAUAGCCAAGCGGUAAGGCAGCGGUUUUUGGUAUCGCCAUGCGGAGGUUCGAAUCCUCCUACCCCAGCCA